rnacentral:SRP_RNA from 1 species
GCCGGGCACGGUGGCGCGUGCCUGUAACCCAAGUUACCCGGAGGCUGAGGUUGGUGCAUUGUGUGAGCCGAGGCACUCUAUGUUGAACGGGUGUCUGCACUAAAUUCAGUAUCAAUAUAGUGCUCCUGGGGAGGCCGGGCCCUCCAGGUCGUCUAAGGAGGGCUGCACUGGCCCAGGUUGGAAAGAAAGCAGGUCAAAUCCCCGGUGUAGUGGGAUAGUGUCUCUGAGUACACUCUGCAGUGCAUCGUUCGCAAGACUUUAUCAUU